UUGAUACGCAAGGGAGAUCUUAUUUUUUGAGAUAAGAACCGAUGGAGCAAUCCAAAAGAGCCGUUUUUUGGAGAAACUUUCAGGUAAACAGAACCUUGGGUGGAUG
rnacentral:ncRNA from 2 species